rnacentral:ncRNA from 1 species
UGGCCCAUCGGGGCUUUGGAUACCUGCUUUUAUUGUU